rnacentral:rRNA from 1 species
CCUACGGGAGGCAGCAGUGGGGGAUAUUGCACAAUGGAGGGAACUCUGAUGCAGCAACGCCGCGUGAGUGAAGAAGUAUUUCGGUAUGUAAAGCUCUAUCAGCAGGGAAGAUGAUGACAGUACCUGAAUAAGAAGCCCCGGCUAACUACGUGCCAGCAGCCGCGGUAAUACGUAGGGGGCAAGCGUUAUCCGGAUUUACUGGGUGUAAAGGGAGCGUAGACGGCGAAGCAAGUCUGAAGUGAAAAUCCGGGGCUCAACUCCGGAAGUGCUUUGGAAACUGUUUUGAUAGAGUGUCGGAGAGGUAAGUGGAAUUCCUGGUGUAGCGGUGAAAUGCGUAGAUAUCAGGAAGAACACCGGAGGCGAAGGCGGCUUACUGGACGAUAACUGACGUUGAGGCUCGAAAGCGUGGGAAGCAAACAGGAUUAGAUACCCGGGUAGUC